AUGGUUAAGCUACUAAGAGCACACGGAGGAUGCCUAGGCGCUAGGAGCCGAAGAAGGACGUGGCGAACAACGAAACUGCCUCGGGGAGCUGUAAGCAAGCAUCGAUCCGGGGAUGUCCGAAUGGGGAAACCCGGCUGGGGUAAUACCUAGUCACUCAUCACUGAAUCCAUAGGUGGUGAAGAGGCAUACCAGGGGAACUGAAACAUCUAAGUACCCUGAGGAAGAGAAAACAAUAGUGAUUCCGUCAGUAGCGGCGAGCGAACGCGGAUUAGCCUAAACCGAAGAGCUUGCUCUUCGGGGUUGUGGGACGUCUCACAUGGAGUUACAAAAGCGGAGGUUAGACGAACAGGUCUGGAAAGGCCGGCCAGAGAAGGUAAAAGCCCUGUAAUCGAAAGUCUCCGCCCUCCGAGACGGAUCCCGAGUAGUGCGGGGCACGUGAAACCCCGUAUGAAUCCGCCAGGACCAUCUGGUAAGGCUAAAUACUCCCUAGCGACCGAUAGUGAAGCAGUACCGUGAGGGAAAGGUGAAAAGCACCCCGGAAGGGGAGUGAAAGAGAACCUGAAACCGUGUGCUUACAAGAAG
rnacentral:rRNA from 1 species